rnacentral:rRNA from 1 species
CGUUGGAUUGCGGGGGAUACUGCUUGGCUAGGGGACGAGAGAGGCAGACGGUAUUUCGGGGUAGGGGUGAAAUCCUAUAAUCCCGGGAAGACCACCAGUGGCGAAGGCUGUCUGCUAGAACGCGCCCGACGGUGAGGGAUGAAAGCUGGGGGAGCGAACCGGAUUAGAUACCCGGGUAGUCCCAGCUGUAAACGAUGCAGACUAGGUGUUUGGACGGCCACGUGCCGUUCUAGUGCCGCAGGGAAGCUGUUAAGUCUGCCGCCUGGGGAGUACGAUCGCAAGAUUGAGACUUAAAGGAAUUGGCGGGGGAGCACCACAAGGGGUGAAGCUUGCGGUUUAAUUGGAUUCAACGCCGGG